UGCUGACAUGCGAUAGCUCAGUUGGUAGAGCAUGAGACCCUUUAUCUUAGGGUCAUAGAAUCAAGCCCUACGUUGGGCAA